UACGGAGGGUGCGAGCGUUGUCCGGAAUCAUUGGGCGUAAAGGGCGCGUAGGUGGCCCGGUCAGCGUGCGGUGAAAGCUCGGGGCUCAACCCCGAGUCGGCCGUGCGAACUGCUGGGCUCGAGCACUGUAGAGGCAGGCGGAAUUCCGGGUGUAGCGGUGGAAUGCGUAGAGAUCCGGAAGAACACCGGUGGCGAAGGCGGCCUGCUGGGCAGUGGCUGACACUGAGGCGCGACAGCGUGGGGAGAAAACAGG
rnacentral:rRNA from 1 species